GGAUUAGAUACCCUGGUAGUCCACGCCGUAAACGAUGGUCACUAGGAGGGGGCCCUGCUCCAGGGUUCCGUUCGUAGCUAACGCGUUAAGUGACCCGCCUGGGGAGUACGCUCGCAAGGGUAAAACUCAAAGGAAUUGACGGGGGCUCACACAAGCGGUGGAGCAUGUGGUUUAAUUCGAAGCAACGCGAAGAACCUUACCCGGGUUUGACAUGUGCGCAAGCGCUAGGUAGUAGGUGCCCGAAAGGGUUCCCGACAGGUAUCCAGUCCUGAGCCUAGUACAGGUGUUGCAUGGCUGUCGUCAGCUCGUGCUG
rnacentral:rRNA from 1 species